AUGAAGAAACUAAAAGUUAUAGACAACACCCUUGAUCUUAUGAAAAGAACCCUGAAAAGAAAAUGGAAACGUCAUCGAGUCCAAUGUGCUUCCCUCAUGGAACAAUCAUCACCGGCACUAAGGUCGAACCACUUGGUCCAGCAAGACCUUUGCGGUUGCUCACCACAGACUCCAACAAGAAGCAGUGUUGCCUCCUAUGUGGCAUCAAGGCCAGGAGGAAUGAGAAUGGCCGCAUUCGACUCAAAGAUUCGACGACUCGCUGGAGGGAACCGACCGGCCAACAAGGGUGUUGUGGCUCCUCCAAAAACCACCAUUGAUUGA
rnacentral:rRNA from 1 species